AACCCCACUUUCCGGACCGGUCCUCGAAGCCUGGUUCCGGGCCGGUGUCUUUUUUUUUUUUUUUUUUCCUUCUUUUUUCCUAUCCCCCCUCGUAGCGUGUGGUUAUGCACUUCUUGUUGUGUAUCUUGUCUGCAUUAGGGUAUUGUAAGCACGGUGAAAUAGGCAAAUUUUCUGUUACGUUAAACCGUAUCCUUUACAAUUUUCUGUCCUUUAAAACAACGUUUACAGACAAACACGUUGACGUAUGCCAGUAUCUAAACACAUUUUUCCUUUCAGAAAAAUGUUUUAGUAUCUCGAUUUUGAAAUUACGAGAAUAUUAGAACUGUUUGUUCAGAUAACGAAAAGUUCGAUAAGAAGUAUGAGUAAUAAUAAUGAUCAUUCGCCAGGUGAAAGACUAAACAACAGAAAUACGCUCCUCUAAAAAGACGUGUGUAGUUUGUGUGUUUAAAAGAAUAUCGAUCGCGUCAUACCACCCACAAACACUAAAUACCGCAUUCUUUAACACUGACUCAUGUACUAGAUCAGAAAUUCUCCGAAGAAAGCUUGAUUGACAAUACAGGUCAGGUACACCUUGAGGUACACUAGUCUCAUCCUGCCAUCUGGUGCCGGUUAUGGUAACAGGUAUAUGACUUUUCUUCUGUACAUCACGACGUUUUCUCAAAAACUGCUGGACAAAAUAUAAAGUUUAAUUAGUUGAUAAAGAUUAUAAAAUUUAAUUUUGGAUAAUUUAAUUAUCAUAUGAGAAAAGAGAAUUUCGAAAUUAGGUCAGAUUAAUAUAUAAAACUGGGAAUUUUUUCUAGGCAUUCCCUACUACUAAAUCCGUUUUUUAGUCACUAAAUAUAUAGAACAGAGUAGGGGGUUUUUUUGUUUUUUUUUUUUCCUUACGAAAUUUAUCCACGCAUUCGUAUAGAGUA
rnacentral:lncRNA from 1 species